rnacentral:rRNA from 1 species
UAUCAGUCAUGCAUAGCAUAUCAAUAAGCGGAGGAAAAGAAACUAACUAGGAUUCCCCUAGUAACGGCGAGUGAAGCGGGAAGAGCUCAGAUUUGAAAUCUUCAAGGUUCUACCUUGACGAAUUGUAGUUUAAAGAAGUGUUUUCUGUUGGAGUUUUGGUAAAAGUUCUUUGGAAUAGGACAUCAUAGAGGGUGAGAAUCCCGUAUUUGACCAUUAUUUCCAACUUUGUGAUACACUUUCAAAGAGUCGGAUUGUUUGGGAAUGCAGUCCAAAAUGGGUGGUAAAUUUCAUCUAAAGCUAAAUACUGGCGAGAGACCGAUAGCGAACAAGUACCGUGAGGGAAAGAUGAAAAGAACUUUGAAAAGAGAGUUAAACAGUACGUGAAAUUGUCAAAAGGGAAGCGUUUGACACCAGUGUUGUUUUCUCGAAAAUCAAUUAAAGAUGGAUGGAUUUUGUGUUGUAUUGACUUUAUCAGCUUUCUGCACUUUUUUCCUAUCUUUUUUAAUGCACUUUUCGUUUAACAAGUCAACAUCAAUUUCUUUUGUUGUAAAAGGGUAUGAGGAAGGUGGCUUUCUCUUCGGAGAAAGUGUUUAUAGCCUUUAACCUCUGCAAUCGGAGAGAUUGAGGUCUGCAGCGUAGAUCCUUCGGGGUUAGAUACAUUUGUGCUAAGUUAUAGUCUUUUAUAGACAACUUGUUGACUAUGAUUUAGUCUUGUAGCUUACUCGCUGAUGCUAUUUUACCUACGCUUAGGAUGUUGAUCUCUCACAGUCGAGC